rnacentral:rRNA from 1 species
UGAAUACGAGAUGCUACGGCGUCGAAGCAGUCUAUGUCAUACUUCCAAGAAAAGCUUGCACUGUCAUAAACAAAUAAUGCCUGUACCAUAACCGACACAGGUGGGUAGGUAGAGUAUACUAAGGGGCGCGAGAUAACUCUCUCUAAGGAACUCGGCAAAAUGACUCCGUAACUUCGGGAGAAGGAGUGCCUUAUUUAUAAGGUUGCAAUAACAAGAUCCAAGCAACUGUUUACCAAAAACACACUCUCCGCUAAGUCGUAAGACGAUGUAUGGGGGCUGACGCCUGCCCAGUGUCAGAAGGUUAAAGAAGUUGGUUAGCAUCCGCGAAGCUGAUAACUGAAGCCCUGGUGAACGGCGGCCGUAACUAUAACGGUCCUAAGGUAGCGAAAUUCCUUGUCGGGUAAGUUCCGACCCGCACGAAAGGCGUAAUGAUUUGGAUACUGUCUCGGAGAGGGGCUCGGUGAAAUAGACUUGUCUGUGAAGAUGCGGACUACCUGCACCAGGACAGAAAGACCCUAUGAAGCUUUACUGUAACCUGAAAUUGAAAUUGGACUUUACUUGCGCAGUAUAGGUGGUAGGCGUUGAGAAUAUUCUUGCGGGAUUAUUGGAGCCAUCAGUGAGAUACCACUCUUGUAAUGUUAGAUUUCUAACUUUGUAUCAUUAUCUGGUCAAAGAACAGUUUCAGGCGGGCAGUUUGACUGGGGCGGUCGCCUCCUAAACGGUAACGGAGGCGCACAAAGGUUUCCUCUGAACGGGUAGAAAUCGUAUCUAGAGUGUAAAGGCAUAAGGAAGCUUGACUGUGAGACCUACAAGUCGAGCAGGGACGAAAGUCGGUCUUAGUGAUCUGACGGUGCUGAGUGGAAAGGCCGUCACUCAUCGGAUAAAAGUUACUCUAGGAUAACAGGCUGAUCUCCCCCAAGAGUUCACAUCGACGGGGAGGUUUGGCACCUCGAUGUCGGCUCAUCGCAUCCUGGGGCGGUAGUACGUCCCAAGGGUUGGGCUGUUCGCCCAUGAAAGCGGUACGCGAGCUGGGUUCAGAACGUCGUGAGACAGUUCGGUCCAUAUCCGGUGUAGGCGUUAGAAUAUUGAGAGGAGCCUUCUUUAGUACGAGAGGACCGAGAAGGACAUACCUCUGGUGUACCAGUUAUCGUGCCAACGGUAAGCGCUGGGUAGCUAUGUGUGGAGUGGAUAACCGCUGAAAGCAUCUAAGUGGGAAGCCCACCUCAAGAUAAG